GACGAACGCUGGCGGCGUGCUUAACACAUGCAAGUCGAACGGUAAGGCCCUUCGGGGUACACGAGUGGCGAACGGGUGAGUAACACGUGGGUGAUCUGCCCUGCACUUCGGGAUAAGCCUGGGAAACUGGGUCUAAUACCGGAUAGGACCACUGCCUGCAUGGGUGGUGGUGGAAAGCUUUUGCGGCGUGGGAUGGGCCCGCGGCCUGUCAGCUUGUUGGUGGGGUGAUGGCCUACCAAGGCGACGACGGGUAGCCGGCCUGAGAGGGUGACCGGCCACACUGGGACUGAGAUACGGCCCAGACUCCUACGGGAGGCAGCAGUGGGGAAUAUUGCACAAUGGGCGCAAGCCUGAUGCAGCGACGCCGCGUGAGGGAUGACGGCCUUCGGGUUGUAAACCUCUUUCAGCACCGACGAAGCGCAAGUGACGGUAGGUGCAGAAGAAGGACCGGCCAACUACGUGCCAGCAGCCGCAGUAA
rnacentral:rRNA from 1 species